UUCAGUAGCUUGCUACUGGUCGGGAGGUGCUGUAACUCCGCAUAGUAUUCAUUUACUGAUGAGCGGCCGGCCCUCUGUCUGUACCCUUGUCUUUUGCGCACUCAUGUUUCCUCGGCGGGCUUGCCCGCCGAUUGGACAAAACUAUAACCUUUUUAAUUUUCAAUCAGCGUCUGAAAAAACUUAAUAAUUACAACUUUCAACAACGGAUCUCUUGGUUCU
rnacentral:misc_RNA from 1 species